CUCCCCUCCCCUCCCAACAACAUACAUCCCUGUAACAAAAAAUGCUUGUAAUUAAGCAGUCUGGUAAAAGUCUACGUAUGACUCAAGUGGCAUAGUGCGCUGAUGUUGGCAAUGAUCAACCAUGAAGUAAAUAAUUAAUGCUGUUCCUGUUAUCUAGUUGUCAGGUUCUUGUAUGUACCCUUGUUUGCUCAGUAAUUUAAUUAUCCAUGUAAAGCGAACAUUUAGAACAAGUAAUUAUAAGAAACAAAAUAUACACAAUAAAUAAAAGGUCAUUGCCAACAUCACAGCACCACGCUGCCUGAGCUAUAAGUAAAAUUUAACCAGUACUCUAUUAUCUGUUAAUGUCAGCAGUCUAAUAUAAUAUUCUGUUUGCAGGUUCAACUGUUCAAAAGCCACCAGCAAUAAGAAAUACAGAGGCUGUAGCAGAUUCAUCCCCCAUUACAGCAUGUGCCCUACAGAAGAGCCCGACGAAUCGCUCAACUCCCAUGAUUCAGCCAAUAGCAAAAUGGGCUGAGGUGGUAUCUGGUCCGUCUCUCGCUACACCGUAUGUGCUGAAACGCAGCCCGAGGAAUAGCUCAACUUCCAAAAUUCAACCAAUACCAAAACAGGCUGUGGUGGUACCACAUCCAUCCAUCUGUACAGUGUGUGUGUUGCUACACAGCUCAAGAAAUGGUGCUGUUCUCCCACAUUUAAACCAGUGACAGGGCAGGAUAAGAUGGUAUCAGUGCCUUCCCUUGCUACAGCACAUGUGCUACAAGACGGCUAUGGAAAGCAACCUGUGAUGCCAGGAAAAUCACAGAUAAACUGUAUCAUGUGCCAGAUGUCGAGCACCAUUGUGUUUGGAAGUUCCAUUGUUCUGUGUGCAAACGGUUUUGGAAGUUUGGAUGAAUCAAGUUUCUGAAAAUGACUGGAAAGAAACUUAAUUAUCAAAAACUAAGAUUUUAUUGCAGUUCAUGAUACUGUGAAAUAUUUUUAUAAUUGCAGUACAUUCAGCUAAAAGUUACAGUAAAAUUUUCU